GGCCAAAGCAGAUCUCUCCUCCCCGCUGGCCCCGAGCAGCUCCCACCCAGCACAGCAGCGACACAGCACCGACCCCACCGGCCCGGCUGGGCUGGUUCCGCUCACACACGCCGGAGCUGCCCCAUUUCCAUCCCAUCCCUCCUCCUCCUCCUCUCCCCUGUUUACGGGCUGUGCCUUUCAUCGCCGCUGCGCGGGGGCGGGCGCGGGCGGCGGGAGGAGGAUGCCCGGGAGCGCUGCUGUCAGCGGGCCGGGAACGCGCUGCGACUCCUGCUCGGGACGGGCCACGGCACCGACAGCGCCGGGAACGCGCUGCGACUCCUGCUCGGGACGGGACACGGCACCGACAGCGCCGGGAACGCGCUGCGACUCCUGCCCGGGACGGGACACGGCACCGACAGCGCCGGGAACGCGCUGCGACUCCUGCCCGGGACGGGACACGGCACCGACAGCGCCGGCACCGCCGGGGCCCCUCCCCGGGCUGGGACCGCGGGUGCCGACACUCCCGUGCCACCGCUGGGACGGGGGAUGCGGCACCCACGGAGCCGGUCCCCUGUCACCCUGCCGUGCUGGGGGACAGUGCUGAGCUCCACAUCCCUCAGAGUCUGCACUACCGACAGACGCUGCUGGUGGAGGCACUGCAAGGGGAAUGGAUGCAAUCCCACCCCCAGACAAACCCAGACCCGUGUCCUGGGGAGCGUUUGCUCCCUCACAGACUCCCACCACUCACCUCACCCGGCUCCAUGGAGGCAGAGUGAGCACCCCCAGCAGGGCCAUCUCACCCAGCAAGGAAUGUGGCAGCAGCACCCAGAGGCUGGAGUCUGGCUCAUCCUUCCAGAGGCACAGCCAGCUCCCUCCCUUGGCUUUACACCCUCCUCCAGCCCUGUGCCCAGCGGGGGGAUCCAUGCCACGGCCGAGGUGGAAGCAAUUCCUGCUGCAGCCAUAAUGAUCCAUAAAGAAGCUGACUUGUUUCUUACCUCUCUGAAAUGAAGGAUGGUGAUUACCCUCCAUCCCAGUCCACAAAGCCUAAUCCAAAUUGAUGGCCUCCCAGAGAUUGCUUCUCUUGCCUCUCACCAAUCCAAUACCCAGCUCCCCUACACACAUCGACUCAGGAGCAGAACGUCAGCGUAAUUCACGCAGGCUCGGGCUGGAAAGGCCAUUUAUCCUGCAGGAAAGGCUCCUGGACAAGACAUUACAUUAACAGCACGUUAGGGAGAGCUGGCAGUGGC
rnacentral:lncRNA from 14 species